rnacentral:lncRNA from 1 species
CCCACAGCAUCAUCACCAUGGUCUCCCUAUCAAUGACGGGUAACUUUCCUUUUGCCCAAGUGCUUCCGUGUGUUCCACUUCCAAGAGCUUUCCUUCAGUCCCUGCCCAGCACACAUCCCCUCCAGCCUCCUCCCCAUCUUCCUGCUUCCCCAGAUGGCUAUGGAUUCUGGUCUUCAUCUGCUACAUUUCAACACAUCCCAGCCGGCUUCCACCCCCACCAUGCACAGUCUUAACAACUACCAUCAACAACAUCUACUAAUGAUUUGUGAAUCUAAAUUCUUGGGAACACUCAGUUCUCUGGCCCAAUUUGUUCUGAAGCAGGUGAAGAUUCAAGGACAUACUGAACUUACCUGUGAAGCCCAAUUUUACCACUGCUUAGCUGUGUAACUUCAGACAAGUUCCAUAACCUCUCUGUGCUGCUUUCUGCAUCUAUAAAAAGUAGCAAACCUACAUGAUUUCUGGAG